GGACUACAAGGGUUUCUAAUCCUGUUUGCUCCCCACGCUUUCGAGCCUCAGCGUCAGGAACGUUCCAGAGCGCCGCCUUCGCCACCGGCCUUCCUCCCGAUCUCUACGCAUUUCACCGCUACACCGGGAAUUCCGCGCUCCUCUCCCGCCCUCUAGUCAAGCAGUCCCCUCCGACCUUUCCCGGUUGAGCCGGGAGAUUUCCCGGAGGGCUUACCAAACCGCCUACGCUCCCUUUACGCCCAGUAAAUCCGAACAACGCUUGCCACCUUCGUAUUACCGCGGCGGCUGGCAC
rnacentral:rRNA from 1 species